CAACUGCAGGGCAUUGGACGAGC
rnacentral:miRNA from 1 species